GGGGAUAUAACUCAGUUGGUAGAGUGUUUGCCUAGCAUGGACAAGGCCCUGGGUUCAAUCCCCAGCAUCACCA
rnacentral:tRNA from 1 species